AACGAACGCUGGCGGCAUGCCUAACACAUGCAAGUCGAACGAGACCUUCGGGUCUAGUGGCGCACGGGUGCGUAACGCGUGGGAACCUGCCCUUAGGUUCGGAAUAACUCCCCGAAAGGGGUGCUAAUACCGGAUAAUGUCUUCGGACCAAAGAUUUAUCGCCUUUGGAUGGGCCCGCGUUGGAUUAGCUCGUUGGUAGGGUAAAAGCCUACCAAGGCGACGAUCCAUAGCUGGUUUGAGAGGAUGAUCAGCCACACUGGGACUGAGACACGGCCCAGACUCCUACGGGAAGCAGCAGUGGGGAAUAUUGGACAAUGGGCGAAAGCCUGAUCCAGCAAUGCCGCGUGAGUGAUGAAGGCCUUAGGGUUGUAAAGCUCUUUUACCCGGGAUGAUAAUGACAGUACCGGGAGAAUAAGCUCCGGCUAACUCCGUG
rnacentral:rRNA from 1 species